CGGCCGGUCGGUCACAUGAACUUCAAAUCCGGCGGGUGAGUGCGGGAU
rnacentral:tRNA from 13 species